rnacentral:rRNA from 1 species
AUGAGGCUUCAGUAUAUAUCAAUUGGAAGUCGGCUUGUGUGGCUCUGCCUGUAUGUUUACAUUUUGCAAACGCAGUUUAUGCCUGGCAUUUGUGUCUCUUUUUUUUGUACUACAGUUAAAUCUAUCCAGCGUGUUCGUGAACCUGAAGUCGGCUUCAGUAUAUAUCAAUUGGAAGUCGGCUUGUGUGGCCCUGCCCGUAUGUUUACAUUUUGCAAACACAGUUUAUGCCCGACUGUAGGAGAUUGGGAGUUGUACAAGGAGGAAAGGAGAAGAGAAGAGAAGAGAAGAAAGAGGACUUCUUUCAUUGGAUUCACGGCUGUUUGA